UGGGGAAUAUUGGACAAUGGGGGCAACCCUGAUCCAGCAAUGCCGCGUGUGUGAAGAAGGCCUGCGGGUUGUAAAGCACUUUCAGUAGAGAAGAAAAGCCUAGGGUUAAUACCCCUGAGUCUUGACGUUACCUACAGAAGAAGCACCGGCUAACUCCGUGCCAGCAGCCGCGGUAAUACGGAGGGUGCAAGCGUUAAUCGGAAUUACUGGGCGUAAAGGGCGCGUAGGCGGCUAUUUAAGUCGGGUGUGAAAGCCCCGGGCUCAACCUGGGAAUUGCAUUCGAUACUGGAUGGCUGGAGUGUAGUAGAGGGAAGCGGAAUUCCGGGUGUAGCGGUGAAAUGCGUAGAUAUCCGGAGGAACAUCAGUGGCGAAGGCGGCUUCCUGGACUAACACUGACGCUGAGGCGCGAAAGCGUGGGGAGCAAACAGGAUUAGAUACCCGGGUAGUCC
rnacentral:rRNA from 1 species